ACAUGUGGAGUAAUUUGGCAAUUGUACGUUUUCUUAAAAAGAAUUUGUAAACAGUAUUUCAAAGAGUAUAAGACUAACGACCAACACCUCAAUCCAAAAAUGGGUUUUGCAUGAUAUUCAGUAGUAUAUGGUAAACAUCAUAUAGCCAAUUCUACUUUUAAACCAAAAUAGGCAUGAACUAUGUAGAUAUACAUGUUAAAUAAAUAUAUAUAUAUAUAUAUAUAUAUAUAUAUAUAUAUAUAUGUGUAUAUAUUUAUACACACACGCGCCAUUUUGAGAUAUGAGAGAUCUAAUUCCCUUAAAGAGAUCUAGUACCAUAAUUUUGAAUUGCAAGUAAGACAGUAGCAGCAGCCUCCUUCCAAGUCAAUCCCAAGGCAAAGGCAGCAAGAAAACAAAC
rnacentral:lncRNA from 1 species